UGGGUAGUCCGCACGAGCCGCANCCCUAUCCUUAUUUGCCAGCACGUAAUGGUGGGAACUCUAGGGAGACUGCCGGUGAUAAACCGGAGGAAGGUGGGGACGACGUCAAGUCAUCAUGGCCCUUACGAGUAGGGCUACACACGUGCUACAAUGGCGUAUACAGAGGGUUGCAAAGCCGCGAGGUGGAGCUAAUCUCACAAAGUACGUCGUAGUCCGGAUCGGAGUCUGCAACUCGACUCCGUGAAGUCGGAAUCGCUAGUAAUCGUGGAUCAGAAUGCCACGGUGAAUACGUUCCCGGGCCUUGUACACACCGCCCGUCACACCAUGGGAGUGGGCUGCAAAAGAAGUGGGUAGUUUAACCUUCGGGAGAACGCUCACCACUUUGUGGUUCAUGACUGGGGUGAAGUCGUAACAAGGUAGCCCUAGGGGAACCUGGGGCUGGAUCACCUCCUU
rnacentral:rRNA from 1 species